UACGUAGGGCGCAAGCGUUUAUCCGGAAUUAUUGGGCGUAAAGAGCUCGUAGGCGGUUUGUCGCGUCUGCCGUGAAAGUCCGGGGCUCAACUCCGGAUCUGCGGUGGGUACGGGCAGACUAGAGUGAUGUAGGGGAGACUGGAAUUCCUGGUGUAGCGGUGAAAUGCGCAGAUAUCAGGAGGAACACCGAUGGCGAAGGCAGGUCUCUGGGCAUUAACUGACGCUGGAGGAGCGAAAGCAUGGGGAGCGAACAGG
rnacentral:rRNA from 1 species